rnacentral:rRNA from 1 species
UGCCAGCCGCCGCGGUAAUACGGAGGGUGCAAGCGUUAAUCGGAAUUACUGGGCGUAAAGCGCGCGUAGGCGGCUAUUUAAGUCGGAUGUGAAAUCCCCGGGCUCAACCUGGGAACUGCAUCCGAAACUUCAUUUCUAGAGGAUAGACGGAGAAGACGGAAUUCCACGAGUAGCGGUGAAAUGCGUAGAUACGUGGAAGAACACCGGUGGCGAAGGCGGUCUUCUAGUUUAUUCCUGACGCUGAGGCGCGAAAGCAAGGGGAGCAAACAGGAUUAGAUA